UACGGAGGGGGUUAGCGUUGUUCGGAAUGACUGGGCGUAAAGCGCGCGUAGGCGGAUCAGGAAGUUGGGGGUGAAAUCCCGGGGCUCAACCCCGGAAUGGCCUUCAAAACUCCUGGUCUUGAGUUCGAGAGAGGUGAGUGGAAUUCCGAGUGUAGAGGUGAAAUUCGUAGAUAUUCGGUGGAACACCAGUGGCGAAGGCGGCUCACUGGCUCGACACUGACGCUGAGGUGCGAAAGCGUGGGGAGCAAACAGG
rnacentral:rRNA from 1 species